rnacentral:rRNA from 1 species
GACGUAGGGCGCGAGCGUUGUCCGGAUUUAUUGGGCGUAAAGAGCUCGUAGGCGGCUUGUCGCGUCGACUGUGAAAACCCGUGGCUCAACCAUGUGGUCUGCAGUCGAUACGGGCAGGCUAGAGUUCGGUAGGGGAGACUGGAAUUCCUGGUGUAGCGGUGAAAUGCGCAGAUAUCAGGAGGAACACCGGUGGCGAAGGCGGGUCUCUGGGCCGAUACUGACGCUGAGGAGCGAAAGCGUGGGGAGCGAACGGG